GACGAACGCUGGCGGCGUGCUUAACACAUGCAAGUCGAACGGUAAGGCUCCAGCUUGCUGGGGUACACGAGUGGCGAACGGGUGAGUAACACGUGGGUGACCUGCCCUGCACUUCGGGAUAAGCCUGGGAAACUGGGUCUAAUACCGGAUAGGACCAUGGUGUGGAUACUGUGGUGGAAAGUUUUUUCGGUGUGGGAUGGGCCCGCGGCCUAUCAGCUUGUUGGUGGGGUAAUGGCCUACCAAGGCGGCGACGGGUAGCCGGCCUGAGAGGGUGGACGGCCACAUUGGGACAGAGACACGGCCCAGACUCCUACGGGAGGCAGCAGUGGGGAAUAUUGCACAAUGGGCGGAAGCCUGAUGCAGCGACGCCGCGUGGGGGAUGACGGCCUUCGGGUUGUAAACUCCUUUCCCCAUCGACGAAGGGUUUCUGACGGUAGAUGGAGAAGAAGCACCGGCUAACUACGUG
rnacentral:rRNA from 1 species